AACCUGCCUUUCAGAGGGGAUAACGAUUGGAAACGAUCGCUAAUACCGCAUAACAUCAUCGGACCGCAUGAUCUGAUGGUCAAAGGAGCAAUCCGCUGAAAGAUGGGCUCGCGGCCGAUUAGCUAGAUGGCGGGGUAGAGGCCCACCAUGGCGACGAUCGGUAGCCGGACUGAGAGGUUGAACGGCCACAUUGGGACUGAGACACGGCCCAG
rnacentral:rRNA from 1 species